UACGUAGGGUGCAAGCGUUGUCCGGAAUUAUUGGGCGUAAAGAGCUCGUAGGCGGCUCAGUAAGUCGGGUGUGAAAACUCCAGGCUCAACCUGGAGACGCCACCUGAUACUGCUGUGGCUAGAGUCCGGUAGGGGAGCAUGGAAUUCCUGGUGUAGCGGUGAAAUGCGCAGAUAUCAGGAAGAACACCCGUGGCGAAGGCGGUUCUCUGGGACGGUACUGACGCUGAGACGCGAAAGCGUGGGGAGCGAACAGGAUUGAGAUACCC
rnacentral:rRNA from 1 species